rnacentral:lncRNA from 1 species
CCAGAGUUCUAGUCUUCAGAGAAAGCUCUCCUGAAUACAAAAGGGCAGAACCAAGAAGAAAAGUCCCGUAAAGAUGAUGGUGACUCUGUAGAGUCUCUGAGCCAAGGUGAAGCUCUACCUAUGCCUGGUAAUUGUGAGACGGUGAGGGAAAGCCCUGGAGUAUUCAGUUCCAAACGCUACCCAGCAGUUCUCAGAAGGGCACAAAGGAUCGCCGUGAAUGUCACAUUGAGUCGGCUCCAGCUGCACCUGCUGGCAGCCCCAGCC